CCUACGGGAGGCAGCAGUGGGGAAUCUUGGACAAUGGGCGAAAGCCUGAUCCAGCCAUGCCGCGUGAGGGAAGAAGGCCUGCGGGUUGUAAACCUCUUUCGUGGGGGACGAUGGGUGUUUGGAGGAAGACUUCAAGCGCUUGACGUUACCCCAAGAAGAAGCACCGGCUAACUCCGUGCCAGCAGCCGCGGUAAUACGGAGGGUGCGAGCGUUAAUCGGAAUUACUGGGCGUAAAGCGUCCGUAGGCGGCUUGUUAAGUCUGAUGUGAAAGCCCUGGGCUUAAUCUGGGAACGGCAUUGGAUACUGGCGAGCUAGAGUUCGGUAGAGGGUGGUGGAAUUCCCGGUGUAGCGGUGAAAUGCGUAGAGAUCGGGAGGAACACCGGUGGCGAAGGCGGCCACCUGGACCGAGACUGACGCUGAGGGACGAAAGCGUGGGGAGCAAACAGGAUUAGAUACCCGGGUAGU
rnacentral:rRNA from 1 species